GCAUGCGUGGGGUAGUGGUAACCUGGGUCGUUGCCAUUGAAAUUCCGAGAAGUUGUAACUGUAACUGUACCUCGACCCGCCGGGGGUUCGAUUCCCCCCGCAUGCA